rnacentral:lncRNA from 13 species
ACAUUACAAAUGUCAUAUUAUAUAUACAGUGUUGUAACAAUGUACAAAUGGUUAAGGUUACACAAGGGAAAAUAAAUAAGCAUAAAUAUGGGUUGUAUUUACAAUGGUGUUUGUUCUUCACUGGUUGCCCUUUUCUCGUGGCAACAGGUCACAAAUCUUGCUGCUGUGAUGUCACACUGUGGUGUUUCACCCAGUAGAUAUGGGAGUUUAUCAAAAUUGGAAUUGUUGGAUUUGUUUUCGAAUUCUUUGUGGAUCUGUGUAAUCUGAGGGAAAUAUGUCUCUCUAAUAUGGUCAUACAUUGGGCAGGAGGUUAGGAAGUGCAGCUCAGUUUCCACCUCAUUUUGUGGGCAGUGAGCACAUAGCCUGUCUUCUCUUGAGAGCCAUGUCUGCCUACGGUGGCCUUUCUCAAUAGCAAGGCUAUGAUCACUGAGUCUGUACAUAGUCAAAGCUUUCCUUAAAUUUGGGUCAGUCACAGUGGUCAGGUAUUCUGCCACUGUGUACUCUCUGUUUAGGGCCAAAUAGCAUUCUAGUUUGCUCUGUUCUUUUGUUAAUUCUUUUCAAUGUGUCAAGUAAUGGUCUUUUUGUUUUCUCAUGAUUUGGUUGGGUCUGAUUGUGUUGCUGUCCUGGGGCUCUGUGGGGUGUGUUUGUGUUUGUGAACAGAGCCCCAGGACCAGCUUGCUUAGGGGACUCUUCUCCAGGUUCAUCCCUCUGCGAAGCAGAGGCAUGACAUCACUCUGCUGUGGGACCGCCCUGUUCUGGACCUGCUGGCUGGAGGUUACAACCUGCACUACGGAGCCCGUUCCAUCAAACAUGAGGUACGCACACACUUACAGGUACACACACAGACACUUACAGGUACACACACAGACACUUACAGGUACACACACAGACACUUACAGGUACACACACAGACACUUACAGGUACACACACAGACACUUACAGGUACACACAC